rnacentral:lncRNA from 1 species
UUAAUCUAAUUUAUUUUUAUUAAUUAUAUUUAUUUACAUAAGUUAUAUAUUCUUUAUAAUCCAUACAAAUUAUAAAUUACUUUUAAUCUAAAAACUUAGAUUUAAAUAUCAUAAAUUUCUUCAACACAAUUUUCUUCACUCACUUUCUAUAUAUAAAUAUAUAUGAUCAAACUUAUUUUUUUUCAUUCACAUUCAUAAAUCUAUUCAUACUCAUCUCUUUUAUCUACACUCAUAUUCUUCACUCACAUUUAUUUCCUUUAUCCACAUUUCAUUUUUUUAUCCACAUACGUAUCCUUCAUAUGCAUUUUUUUUUCUCUCAUCUCCUCCAUUCACAUUCUUCUCUUCAUCUCCAUCAUUUAUACUCAUCUUCUUCAUCCACAUUUAUUUUUUUCAUUCAUAUUCUUCUUUUUCAUCUAUACUCAUUUUCUUCAUCAUUAUAAAA